GGCCUUGUAGUUCAACUGGAUAGAAUAUCAGAUUUCGGCUCUGAGGGUUGGGGGUUCGAAUCCCUCCAAGGCCACCA
rnacentral:tRNA from 2 species